CUGGUUGAUCCUGCCAGUAGUCAUAUGCUUGCCUAAAAGAUUAAGCCAUGCAUGUCUAAGUAUAAACUGUUUUAUACAAGUGAAACUGCGAAUGGCUCAUUAAAUCAGUUAUAAUUUAUUUGAUAGUACCCUUUUACUACUUGGAUAACCGUGGUAAUUCUAGAGCUAAUACAUGCCUUGAAAGUCCUGACCUUUAUGGGAGGGAUGCAGUUAUUAGAUACAAAACCAACCCGGGCAACCGGUUUUUUGGUGAUUCAUGAUAACUUUGCGAAUCGCAUAGCCUUGUGCUGGCGAUGGGUCAUUCAAAUUUCUGCCCUAUCAACUUUCGACGGUAGGAUAGAGGCCUACCGUGGUGAUAACGGGUAACGGGGAAUUAGGGUUCGAUUCCGGAGAGGGAGCCUGAGAAACGGCUACCACAUCCAAGGAAGGCAGCAGGCGCGCAAAUUACCCAAUCCUGAUACAGGGAGGUAGUGACAAUAAAUAACGAUGCGGAACCUUUUUGGUUUUCGCAAUUGGAAUGAGUACAAUUUAAAUCCCUUAACGAGGAACAAUUGGAGGGCAAGUCUGGU
rnacentral:rRNA from 1 species